UAAGCGUGUAGGUGUGUGUUCCAGGUAAAUCCGGUUCACUUUAACACUGAGGCGUGACGACGAGGCACUACGGUGCUGAAGCAACAAAUGCCCUGCUUCCAGGAAAAGCCUCUAAGCAUCAGGUAACAUCAAAUCGUACCCCAAACCGACACAGGUGGUCAGGUAGAGAAUACCAAGGCGCUUGAGAGAACUCGGGUGAAGGAACUAGGCAAAAUGGUGCCGUAACUUCGGGAGAAGGCACGCUGACACGUAGGUGAAGUGAUUUACUCAUGGAGCUGAAGUCAGUCGAAGAUACCAGCUGGCUGCAACUGUUUAUUAAAAACACAGCACUGUGCAAACACGAAAGUGGACGUAUACGGUGUGACGCCUGCCCGGUGCCGGAAGGUUAAUUGAUGGGGUCAGCGCAAGCGAAGCUCCUGAUCGAAGCCCCGGUAAACGGCGGCCGUAACUAUAACGGUCCUAAGGUAGCGAAAUUCCUUGUCGGGUAAGUUCCGACCUGCACGAAUGGCGUAAUGAUGGCCAGGCUGUCUCCACCCGAGACUCAGUGAAAUUGAACUCGCUGUGAAGAUGCAGUGUACCCGCGGCAAGACGGAAAGACCCCGUGAACCUUUACUAUAGCUUGACACUGAACAUUGAGCCUUGAUGUGUAGGAUAGGUGGGAGGCUUUGAAGUGUGGACGCCAGUCUGCAUGGAGCCGACCUUGAAAUACCACCCUUUAAUGUUUGAUGUUCUAACGUGGACCCGUUACCCGGGUUGCGGACAGUGUCUGGUGGGUAGUUUGACUGGGGCGGUCUCCUCCUAAAGAGUAACGGAGGAGCACGAAGGUUGGCUAAUCCUGGUCGGACAUCAGGAGGUUAGUGCAAUGGCAUAAGCCAGCUUGACUGCGAGCGUGACGGCGCGAGCAGGUGCGAAAGCAGGUCAUAGUGAUCCGGUGGUUCUGAAUGGAAGGGCCAUCGCUCAACGGAUAAAAGGUACUCCGGGGAUAACAGGCUGAUACCGCCCAAGAGUUCAUAUCGACGGCGGUGUUUGGCACCUCGAUGUCGGCUCAUCACAUCCUGGGGCUGAAGUAGGUCCCAAGGGUAUGGCUGUUCGCCAUUUAAAGUGGUACGCGAGCUGGGUUUAGAACGUCGUGAGACAGUUCGGUCCCUAUCUGCCGUGGGCGCUGGAGAACUGAGGGGGGCUGCUCCUAGUACGAGAGGACCGGAGUGGACGCAUCACUGGUGUUCGGGUUGUCAUGCCAAUGGCACUGCCCGGUAGCUAAAUGCGGAAGAGAUAAGUGCUGAAAGCAUCUAAGCACGAAACUUGCCCCGA
rnacentral:rRNA from 3 species